rnacentral:snoRNA from 1 species
GGGAGGAUGCUCUGGAUUCGCUACUACAACCACCGACUGCCUGAUGCACAUCCUCUGUCACCUGACCU